rnacentral:misc_RNA from 1 species
UGUUUAGGAAGGAUCCUGCGG